rnacentral:rRNA from 1 species
GAUCCUGGCUCAGGACGAACGCUGGCGGCGUGCUUAACACAUGCAAGUCGAACGAGAAUCUACUGAAAGAGUUUUCGGACAAUGGAUGUAGAGGAAAGUGGCGGACGGGUGAGUAACGCGUGAGGAACCUGCCUUGAAGAGGGGGACAACACGUUGGAAACGACUGCUAAUACCGCAUGAAGCAUAGGGGUCGCAUGAUCUUUAUGCCAAAGAUUUAUCGCUUCAAGAUGGCCUCGCG